CCUACGGGAGGCAGCAGUGAGGAAUAUUGGUCAAUGGACGAGAGUCUGAACCAGCCAAGUAGCGUGAAGGAUGACUGCCCUAUGGGUUGUAAACUUCUUUUAUAAAGGAAUAAAACGAGUCACGUGUGCCUUUUUGCAUGUACUUUAUGAAUAAGGAUCGGCUAACUCCGUGCCAGCAGCCGCGGUAAUACGGAGGAUCCGAGCGUUAUCCGGCUUUAUUUGGUUUAAAGGGAGCGUAGAUGGGUUGUUAAGUCCGUUGUGAAAGUUUGCGGCUCAACCGUAAAAUUGCAAUUGAUACUGGCAGUCUUGAGUACAGUUGAGGUAGGCGGAAUUCGUGGUGUAGCGGUGAAAUGCUUAGAUAUCACGAAGAACCCCGAUUGCGAAGGCAGCUUACUAAACUGUGACUGACAUUGAUGCUCGAAAGUGUGGGUAUCAAACAGGAUUAGAUACCCGGGUAGUC
rnacentral:rRNA from 1 species